AACGAAACAGUUCAUGAGGGGAAGGAGAAAAGAGAGAGUGAAGGGAACAGCGCGUAUUGAUAGCUGAGCACUCAGGCAAAUGCAAAUGGUGCUGUGUAAGAAAUCUCUCUGUGUUGCUUGGAAUUAGGAUGCUGCUGGCUCUGUCGCAGAGCGGGGACUGAAAGGCAAUCGUCUUUGAUCUGCUCCAGUGGUGCAGAAUGACUCUAAGGGAAUGUAUCAAUUAAGAAAAUAUUGAAAUUGCUUGUACAGCACUUUACAUAUCUUAGGUUACACCAAGAGCAGGGUGCAUUGGAAAACAAAUGAACCGUGACAUUGGCACUACAGCAAUCCACUGAGCUCUUUGUGGAAAAGAGUAGGAAAAGGUGCAAUUGUAUGUUCUGUGGGUCUUAACGAUGUCCACUGUGUUGUAAAAAUGCUGUGCCUUGGUUACCAGGGCUUGCUUCCCACAGUCGCAGUGUAAAACAGUACUUCAUGAAUUUGGUAACCUUUUUCCCCAUGAAAAUGUAUGCCAAACUCCUACCAGUUCAUUUCCUAAAGGCUUGAGCAAAAAACCCGAGCCCAUGGUGUGAAAUGUCAAAUAUUGGACAAGAUUGCUCAGAAACAGGAAAACGGCAGAUAUUCGCAGACUGUCUUGUCUUAUGGUGACAGAGAAUUGAAAGAGGAUAGACAGAUGAGAGAUGUAGAUAAAGGAGUUUACUCUGUCACUUACUGACCCAAAUUUGACAAGCACCUUGGGGUUUAUAACUGCCACAAAAGCUAGUGCAGCACCGGAUCUUGUUAAUUCUUGUAGCGAGGCAUCCCGGCACCCUGGCAGUGAGUUCAAAGCUCCAUUCCUGAUGUACAGAUGGGAAAUGCAGAGCGUGGGCCAAGAGCCGAAAAGCACAGACGCCUAAUGCAGAACGUCUCUCAACCAAAGAGCCCAUCAGAAGGCUUCGUCCCGUCUGAUUUUCCUGUAACUAAACAGGAGGAAGGUACCAGCAAGUUUCUGUCUAGAAGUGAGGAGAUCUUUUCAGUGGGAAAGAAGGUUUCAGUGUGGGAAGUACUGAGAACCCCCGAUGAGCGAUUUGAUCUUCUUUGCAUCAAAGCAGGACACCAGGAAAGGGAAUACCAGGACUACAUGAAAAUGUCAUUGUGUUAA
rnacentral:lncRNA from 1 species